rnacentral:ribozyme from 1 species
AAAUAGCACCCAAAGAAAGAAUAUACUGAGAAACAGGUAGGCUGGGGAGGAGGGGGUGUUUUUUUUUUCUUUCUUUUUUUCUUCUUCUUCU